rnacentral:tRNA from 1 species
GGAUUAGUAGUUAAGUGGUUAUAAUAUAGCUCUUUUAAUGCUACUAUUAUAGGUUUAAUCCCUAUCUAGUCUA